UACGGGGGGAGCAAGCGUUGUUCGGAUUUACUGGGCGUAAAGGGCGCGUAGGCGGCCACCGCAAGUCGACUGUGAAAUCUCCGGGCUUAACCUGGGAAUGGCAUUUGGGACUGCAAGGCUGGAGUGCGGCAGAGGAGACUGGAAUUCCUGGUGUAGCGGUGAAAUGCGCAGAUAUCAGGAGGAACACCGGUGGCGAAGGCGGGUCUCUGGGCCGAUACUGACGCUGAGGAGCGAAAGCGUGGGGAGCGAACAGG
rnacentral:rRNA from 1 species